GGCAGCCGCGGUAAUUCCAGCUCCAAUAGCGUAUAUUAAAGUUGUUGCAGUUAAAAAGCUCGUAGUUGAAUUUCGGAAUCAAGGUACCGGUCAUGCUUUUUGUAUGUACUGACAUCAUUGAUUUCUCCCUUCUGACGAACCAUGAUGUCAUUAAUUUGGUGUCAUAGGGAAUCAGGACUGUUACUUUGAAAAAUUAGAGUGUUUAAAGCAAGCUCACGCUUGAAUACAUUAGCAUGGAAUAAUGAAAUAGGACGUUUGAUCCUAUUUUGUUGGUUUCUAGGAUCGACGUAAUGAUUAAUAGGGAUAGUUGGGGGCAUUAGUAUUCAAUUGUCAGAGGUGAAAUUCUUGGAUUUAUUGAAGACUAACUACUGCGAAAGCAUUUGCCAAGGAUGUUUUCAUUAAUCAAGAACGAAAGUUAGGGGAUCGAAGACGAUCAGAUACCGUCGUAGUCUUAACCAUAAACUAUGCCGACUAGGGAUCGGAUGAUGUUAAUUUUUAAUGACUCAUUC
rnacentral:rRNA from 1 species